rnacentral:lncRNA from 1 species
CUGUGGGAUAGUAGUCUCUCUGAGAUUUCCAAUUCCCAAACUGGACAUGCUUUCUCAACUAGAAGGAGGAGAAGAACAAUGGGUCCCUGACCCCCAGGACUUAGAGGAGAGGGACAUUCUGAGGGUCACAUAUACAGGUAAGAACCUAGAAUAGGCUUUCAGCCACUUCCUUCACAGUUCGGGACAUCAUCAUUCCAUGUUCGUUUAAUCCCUCCUCUGCCUCAGAGAGUUCCAGAGACAAAAGGUUUAGAGAUUUUUUUCUUCAAAAGCAAGGGAGUGUAAUAGAAUGAUGUAGCAGGCACUUUGUGGAUUUGA